UGUGAAUAUAAAGCGCCAGAGCUCAAGGCUUAACUUAAACAACACUUUGAGCUGACGAGGAUGGGGAGUAUCGAAUCUUCGGCGGGUGCCCCACGGUAUCGCACUACCGUUAACAACUGAUAAAACCAGGAAGUGAUUUCUGAUACAACAUCAGUUUGGUGUUAAAA
rnacentral:ncRNA from 2 species